ACGCACGCUGGCGGCGUGCUUCACCCAUGCCAGUCGUACGGUAAGGCCCUUUCGGGGGUACACGAGUGGCGAACGGGUGAGUAACACGUGAGUAACCUGCCCACAACUUUGGGAUAACGCUAGGAAACUGGUGCUAAUACUGGAUAUGUGCUCCUGCUGCAUGGUGGGGGCUGGAAAGCUCCGGCGGUUGUGGAUGGACUCGCGGCCUAUCAGCUUGUUGGUGGGGUAGUGGCCUACCAAGGCGGCGACGGGUAGCCGGCCUGAGAGGGUGACCGGCCACAUUGGGACUGAGAUACGGCCCAGACGCCUACGGGAGGCAGCAGGGGGGAAUAUUGCACAAUGGGCGCAAGCCUGAUGCAGCAACGCCGCGUGCGGGAUGACGGCCUUCGGGUUGUAAACCGCUUUCAGCAGGGACGAAGCUUUUUGUGACGGUACCUGCAGAAGAAGCACCGGCUAACUACGUG
rnacentral:rRNA from 1 species